rnacentral:lncRNA from 1 species
AGCUCCAUCUGGAACGGAUCGAGUUGUCCUUCAUUUCUUCAGACUAACAGGCACUGUGCAGAAGAGAAAGCAAGAAUUAAAUUCUCUGGGAGGGAAGCUUCAUGUAUUUGAGGAAGUGCUAAGCAUCAGGAGGUUAUUUAGUGAGUGUUGAAGGCAUAAUUGGGGUAUCAUUGGAAGCAGAGGAGUGUGAAUGAGGAGUUAUUAGUCAGCACAUGACACCACACACACACGUUGAGUUAAUAGAAAAUAAGCAGCUCGAGCAGGUGAGUAACAACUGAGACUAUAUUUUUGUGCCUGAGUUGUGAAUAGCAGUAAAGACGCUGCCUUUUUCAACAUUUCUACUAGGAUAUGUUUUCUU